AUUCAAAAAAAAUUGUUCAAUAUAAUUAUUGUAACACCAGUACAAACAUGUACAGAUAACAAAGAAGUAAAAUCACACCUGACCAGAAAAACAUUUUCUCUGCAUAUCAGCCGUUACUUGCAGUUCUGUUGGACCUAUUCCAUAGAUUCUGUUAACUCUCCUCGGCUAAAUCUUGCCAUGUAGGGCUAACUCACUCACUGAGAGGGUCAUAAUGUAGGCGACUGAUAACUAUUUGACAAUUUACCUGGAAUCCGUUGCGCACCAAACACUCCUGUAAUCUCACCACUAUAGUACGCUGUAAUACUUCUGGUUUUUAAAUAUUCAUUUAAAGGAGGA